UACGUAGGGGGCGAGCGUUGUCCGGAUUCAUUGGGCGUAAAGAGCUCGUAGGCGGCUUGGCAAGCCGGGUGUGAAAACUCCAGGCUCAACCUGGAGACGCCACCCGGGACUGCUAUGGCUAGAGUCCGGUAGGGGAUCACGGAAUUCCUGGUGUAGCGGUGAAAUGCGCAGAUAUCAGGAGGAACACCGGUGGCGAAGGCGGCUUCCUGGACCGACACUGACGCUGAGGCGCGAAAGCCAGGGGAGCAAACGGG
rnacentral:rRNA from 1 species